UACGAAGGGGGCUAGCGUUGUUCGGAAUUACUGGGCGUAAAGGGCGCGUAGGCGGUGUGUCAAGUCAGGCGUGAAAGCCCCGGGCUCAACCUGGGAACAGCGCUUGAGACUGGCACGCUCGAGUUCGGGAGAGGAUGGUGGAAUUCCCAGUGUAGAGGUGAAAUUCGUAGAUAUUCGCAAGAACACCAGUGGCGAAGGCGGCUCACUGGCCCGGUACUGACGCUGAGGUGCGAAAGCGUGGGGAGCAAACAGG
rnacentral:rRNA from 1 species